rnacentral:rRNA from 1 species
CCUACGGGAGGCUGCAGUGGGGAAUAUUGCACAAUGGGGGAAACCCUGAUGCAGCGACGCCGCGUGAGUGAAGAAGUAUUUCGGUAUGUAAAGCUCUAUCAGCAGGGAAGAGAAUGACGGUACCUGAGUAAGAAGCAACGGCUAACUACGUGCCAGCAGCCGCGGGAAUACGUAGGGGGCAAGCGUUAUCCGGAUUUACUGGGUGUAAAGGGAGCGUAGACGGCGAAGAAAGUCUGAAGUGAAAGCCCGCGGCUCAACCGCGGAACUGCUUUGGAAAUUUUUUUGCUGGAGUACCGGAGAGGUAGGCGGAAUGCCGAGUGUAGCGGUGAAAUGCGUAGAUAUUAGGCGGAACACCAGUGGCGAAGGCGGCUUACUGGACGGUAACUGACGUUGAGGCUCGAAAGCGUGGGGAGCAAACAGGAUUAGAUACCCCAGUAGUC